UGACCUCAAAUCAGGUAGGACUACCCGCUGAACUUAAGCAUAUCAAUAAGCGGAGGAAAAGAAACUAACAAGGAUUCCCCUAGUAACUGCGAGUGAAGCGGGAAAAGCUCAAAUUUAAAAUCUGGCGGUCUUUUGGCUGUCCGAGUUGUAAUCUAGAGAAGUGUUAUCCGCGCUGGACCGUGUACAAGUCUCCUGGAAUGGAGCGUCAUAGAGGGUGAGAAUCCCGUCUUUGACACGGACUACCAGGGCUUUUGUGAUGCGCUCUCAAAGAGUCGAGUUGUUUGGGAAUGCAGCUCAAAAUGGGUGGUAAAUUCCAUCUAAAGCUAAAUAUUGGCGAGAGACCGAUAGCGAACAAGUACCGUGAGGGAAAGAUGAAAAGAACUUUGGAAAGAGAGUUAAACAGUACGUGAAAUUGCUGAAAGGGAAACGCUUGAAGUCAGUCGCGUUGUCCAGGGAUCAGCCUUGCUUUUGCUCGGUGCACUUUCUGGUUGACGGGUCAGCAUCAAUUUUGACCAUUGGAAAAAGAUUAAGGGAAUGUGACAUCUUUGGAUGUGUUAUAGCCCUUGGUUGCAUACGAUGGUUGGGAUUGAGGAACUCAGCACGCCGCAAGGCCGGGUUUAACCACGUACGUGCUAGGAUGCUGC
rnacentral:rRNA from 1 species